rnacentral:rRNA from 1 species
UACGUAGGGGGCGAGCGUUGUCCGGAUUUAUUGGGCGUAAAGAGCGUGUAGGCGGCUUGGUAGGUCCGCUGUGAAAACUCGGGGCUCAACCCCGAGAGGUCGGUGGAAACCAUCUGGCUAGAGUCCGGAAGAGGAGAGUGGAAUUCCCGGUGUAGCGGUGAAAUGCGCAGAUAUCGGGAGGAACACCAGUGGCGAAGGCGACUUCCUGGCCUGUUCUUGACGCUGAGGCGCGAAAGCUAGGGGAGCAAACGGG